UGUGUUUGUGUGUAUUUGUUUUUAAUUUGUAACAACGCCUUACAGAUAGGUGCAAACAGGAAAUCCUCUUUUGCAACCCAGAACUCAUUGUUGAGUAUGAGGUUUGGGCACAUGAAAGAAAGAGUAUG